CCUUAGAGAAAUAGGAAUUGAACCUACAACUG
rnacentral:tRNA from 1 species